UACGGGAGGCAGCAGUGGGGAAUAUUGCACAAUGGGCGCAAGCCUGAUGCAGCCAUGCCGCGUGUAUGAAGAAGGCCUUCGGGUUGUAAAGUACUUUCAGUCGUGAGGAAGGUGUUAAGGUUAAUAACCUUAGCAAUUGACGUUAGCGACAGAAGAAGCACCGGCUAACUCCGUGCCAGCAGCCGCGGUAAUACGGAGGGUGCGAGCGUUAAUCGGAAUUACUGGGCGUAAAGGGCACGCAGGCGGUUAAUUAAGUUGGAUGUGAAAUCCCCGGGCUUAACCUGGGAAUGGCAUUCAAGACUGGUUAGCUAGAGUCUUGUAGAGGGGGUAGAAUUCCAUGUGUAGCGGUGAAAUGCGUAGAGAUGUGGAGGAAAUACCGGUGGCGAAAGGCGGCCCCUGGACAAAGACUGACGCUCAUGUGCGAAAAGCGUGGGGAGCAAAAC
rnacentral:rRNA from 1 species